rnacentral:lncRNA from 1 species
CUCCAGACCAAUUGAACCAGAAUCUCUGAGGCGGGGCCUGGGUGUUGGUAAUUUUCCUUUGAAACACUCCCCAGGUGAUUCUAAUGGAAUCUAGGAGUGAGAAUCACUGGGGGAAGGCAUUUGUAGAUGGGAAGGCUGGUGGCAUCUGCUAGAAGACUUGAUGUGUACUUGGCCAGAGAUAAACCACAGGUCUGGCCUGAAUGGGUGUGGAAAUGUGUCAGUCAUGUUUUCAGAUUUCCAAGGUCAUUUUCCAAGAGACCUCUGUGAGCUUGGACUGGAUAGCGCAGCACAGGGCCAGCGAUGGCAGCUGGAAGGGUGGCUGCCUAGGAAGGAGCUGACUCUUCUGUCUCCUCUACCCCUUUAAGGGCCCCAUGAUUAUGUUGUGUGUAAUUUCAUCUGCAAAGCCACGUAAGCAUAUUGUGCCAAGGUUCUAGCAAAUCCACCUGGCUAAGGGAUGCAUCUUCCUUUACUACUCAUUGUCAAUUCUCUCCAGAAAGUCUUUCUGACCCCAGUCCUUGCCCACCAGGCUGGAUUCAGUGCCAGUCCUCUGUGUUACAGCAUCAUAGAACUUCCCUUGUUCAGCUGUCCAUUACCCUAUAACUCUUUCACCAGAUUGUGCUUUUUGAGUACAGAAACUGACAUUUCUGUAUCAUUUAGUAGAGUGUCUGGUACAUAGUACAUGCUCAAGAAAUGCUUAUUGAAUAAAUGAAUGAUGGGAAAAUUUAUUAUAUACUUAAAAAUUUUUGAUCAAAUAAUUACUGGUUGGAAAGUAUCCCUUAAACAACACAAAUAUUGAAAUAUUCAGUGAGAGGAAAAUCUAUGCAUAUCAAUACUGUGCUUCCUGAGAAUUAUCUUUACACAGAAGACUUCUUGAAAAAUAAAUAAACAUUGUGUUUGUGAAUUGUCCAGGCCUGGAUCUUGAGGAGGAAGGCACUUCUGAAAUAGCUGCAACUCCCGGCACAUUGUAGGGUUGAACUUCCCUGUUUGCAUUACAUAGGACUGGUCAUCUGACUGGCUGUGGCCAGUGAAAAUGUAGAUGAAAAUAGCCUGUAUCACCUCUGGACGAGUCAUUAGGAGUCAGUGUAUGAUUUGAUACAUUUCCUUCUCUCUGCCAUGGUGAUUGGUGAUGGAGGCUCUAUUAGUUUUUGUUCCUGAGUAAAGUAAUGUGGGUAUGAGUCCCUAGCUGACUUCCAAUACGAGUGAGAAAUAAACCUUAAUUGUUUUAAGCCUCCAAGCUUUGGAGUUUGUUGUACAGCCCACCAUGACAAAUAUACUUUUAGUCCUUUAUUUACAUGCUUUAAAAUACUGCUUGCAUUUUCUGAUUACCAUAUGUUCAUUGUGGAGAAUUUCAAAAAAUAUAAAAAAAAACCUUUGAAAUCACUUACAUAGAAAUAGUCUCUGUUAAUAUUUUGAUGUAUUGUCUUCCUCUCCCAAUUUAAAAAAUCAGGAUCCUAAUAUAUACGAUAUUGAUUUUUUCACUUCAUAUAUACUCUUAAAAUACAUGAAUUUGCUGCAUAUUAUUAAUUGAUGAGGAAGUGUUAUAAUCUAUUUUUAUAUUUAUGUUUUAUAUUUAUACUAUACAAUUCAUAAGAGUCACAUUUUAUUUUUGUACUUUUUCUUGUUGUAAAUAACAUUCCAAUGAAACUUUUGUGAUUAAGUCUUUGCUCAAAUUGCUGCUGCUGUCCUUGGAGUAGAUCCCUAGAAGGUGAACGACUAGGUCAAGGAGUAUGCAUACUUUUAAGAUUUUUGCUACCUAUUGCCAGGAGAAAGGUUAUACCAAUUAACACGUCAGC